rnacentral:rRNA from 1 species
GGUUAAGCGACUAAGCGUACACGGUGGAUGCCCUGGCAGUCAGAGGCGAUGAAGGACGUGCUAAUCUGCGAUAAGCGUCGGUAAGGUGAUAUGAACCGUUAUAACCGGCGAUUUCCGAAUGGGGAAACCCAGUGUGUUUCGACACACUAUCAUUAACUGAAUCCAUAGGUUAAUGAGGCGAACCGGGGGAACUGAAACAUCUAAGUACCCCGAGGAAAAGAAAUCAACCGAGAUUCCCCCAGUAGCGGCGAGCGAACGGGGAGCAGCCCAGAGCCUGAAUCAGUGUGUGUGUUAGUGGAAGCGUCUGGAAAGGCGCGCGAUACAGGGUGACAGCCCCGUACACAAAAAUGCACAUGCUGUGAGCUCGAUGAGUAGGGCGGGACACGUGGUAUCCUGUCUGAAUAUGGGGGGACCAUCCUCCAAGGCUAAAUACUCCUGACUGACCGAUAGUGAACCAGUACCGUGAGGGAAAGGCGAAAAGAACCCCGGCGAGGGGAGUGAAAAAGAACCUGAAACCGUGUACGUACAAGCAGUGGGAGCACGCUUAGGCGUGUGACUGCGUACCUUUUGUAUAAUGGGUCAGCGACUUAUAUUCUGUAGCAAGGUUAACCGAAUAGGGGAGCCGAAGGGAAACCGAGUCUUAACUGGGCGUUAAGUUGCAGGGUAUAGACCCGAAACCCGGUGAUCUAGCCAUGGGCAGGUUGAAGGUUGGGUAACACUAACUGGAGGACCGAACCGACUAAUGUUGAAAAAUUAGCGGAUGACUUGUGGCUGGGGGUGAAAGGCCAAUCAAACCGGGAGAUAGCUGGUUCUCCCCGAAAGCUAUUUAGGUAGCGCCUCGUGAAUUCAUCUCCGGGGGUAGAGCACUGUUUCGGCAAGGGGGUCAUCCCGACUUACCAACCCGAUGCAAACUGCGAAUACCGGAGAAUGUUAUCACGGGAGACACACGGCGGGUGCUAACGUCCGUCGUGAAGAGGGAAACAACCCAGACCGCCAGCUAAGGUCCCAAAGUCAUGGUUAAGUGGGAAACGAUGUGGGAAGGCCCAGACAGCCAGGAUGUUGGCUUAGAAGCAGCCAUCAUUUAAAGAAAGCGUAAUAGCUCACUGGUCGAGUCGGCCUGCGCGGAAGAUGUAACGGGGCUAAACCAUGCACCGAAGCUGCGGCAGCGACGCUUAUGCGUUGUUGGGUAGGGGAGCGUUCUGUAAGCCUGUGAAGGUGUGCUGUGAGGCAUGCUGGAGGUAUCAGAAGUGCGAAUGCUGACAUAAGUAACGAUAAAGCGGGUGAAAAGCCCGCUCGCCGGAAGACCAAGGGUUCCUGUCCAACGUUAAUCGGGGCAGGGUGAGUCGACCCCUAAGGCGAGGCCGAAAGGCGUAGUCGAUGGGAAACAGGUUAAUAUUCCUGUACUUGGUGUUACUGCGAAGGGGGGACGGAGAAGGCUAUGUUGGCCGGGCGACGGUUGUCCCGGUUUAAGCGUGUAGGCUGGUUUUCCAGGCAAAUCCGGAAAAUCAAGGCUGAGGCGUGAUGACGAGGCACUACGGUGCUGAAGCAACAAAUGCCCUGCUUCCAGGAAAAGCCUCUAAGCAUCAGGUAACAUCAAAUCGUACCCCAAACCGACACAGGUGGUCAGGUAGAGAAUACCAAGGCGCUUGAGAGAACUCGGGUGAAGGAACUAGGCAAAAUGGUGCCGUAACUUCGGGAGAAGGCACGCUGAUAUGUAGGUGAAGUCCCUCGCGGAUGGAGCUGAAAUCAGUCGAAGAUACCAGCUGGCUGCAACUGUUUAUUAAAAACACAGCACUGUGCAAACACGAAAGUGGACGUAUACGGUGUGACGCCUGCCCGGUGCCGGAAGGUUAAUUGAUGGGGUCAGCGCAAGCGAAGCUCUUGAUCGAAGCCCCGGUAAACGGCGGCCGUAACUAUAACGGUCCUAAGGUAGCGAAAUUCCUUGUCGGGUAAGUUCCGACCUGCACGAAUGGCGUAAUGAUGGCCAGGCUGUCUCCACCCGAGACUCAGUGAAAUUGAACUCGCUGUGAAGAUGCAGUGUACCCGCGGCAAGACGGAAAGACCCCGUGAACCUUUACUAUAGCUUGACACUGAACAUUGAGCCUUGAUGUGUAGGAUAGGUGGGAGGCUUAGAAGUGUGGACGCCAGUCUGCAUGGAGCCGACCUUGAAAUACCACCCUUUAAUGUUUGAUGUUCUAACGUUGACCCGUAAUCCGGGUUGCGGACAGUGUCUGGUGGGUAGUUUGACUGGGGCGGUCUCCUCCUAAAGAGUAACGGAGGAGCACGAAGGUUGGCUAAUCCUGGUCGGACAUCAGGAGGUUAGUGCAAUGGCAUAAGCCAGCUUGACUGCGAGCGUGACGGCGCGAGCAGGUGCGAAAGCAGGUCAUAGUGAUCCGGUGGUUCUGAAUGGAAGGGCCAUCGCUCAACGGAUAAAAGGUACUCCGGGGAUAACAGGCUGAUACCGCCCAAGAGUUCAUAUCGACGGCGGUGUUUGGCACCUCGAUGUCGGCUCAUCACAUCCUGGGGCUGAAGUAGGUCCCAAGGGUAUGGCUGUUCGCCAUUUAAAGUGGUACGCGAGCUGGGUUUAGAACGUCGUGAGACAGUUCGGUCCCUAUCUGCCGUGGGCGCUGGAGAACUGAGGGGGGCUGCUCCUAGUACGAGAGGACCGGAGUGGACGCAUCACUGGUGUUCGGGUUGUCAUGCCAAUGGCACUGCCCGGUAGCUAAAUGCGGAAGAGAUAAGUGCUGAAAGCAUCUAAGCACGAAACUUGCCACGAGAUGAGUUCUCCCUGACCCUUUAAGGGUCCUGAAGGAACGUUGAAGACGACGACGUUGAUAGGCCGGGUGUGUAAGCGCAGCGAUGCGUUGAGCUAACCGGUACUAAUGAACCGUGAGGCUUAACCUU